rnacentral:rRNA from 1 species
AUAUUGGCGAGAGACCGAUAGCGAACAAGUACCGUGAGGGAAAGAUGAAAAGCACUUUGGAAAGAGAGUGAAACAGUACGUGAAAUUGUUGAAAGGGAAACGCUUGAAGUCAGUCGCGUCCGCCAGGAUCCAGCCUCACGGUGUACUUUCUGGUGGACGGGCCAGCAUCACUUUCAAUCAUCGGACAAGGUCGAGAGGAAUGUGGCACCUUCGGGUGUGUUAUAGCCUCUUGUCGUAUACGGUGACUGGGAGUGAGGACCGCCUUUGUAGGAUGCUGGCGUAAUGGCUUUAAACGACCCGUCUUGAAACACGGACC